rnacentral:rRNA from 1 species
GACGAACGCUGGCGGCGUGCUUAACACAUGCAAGUCGAGCGAUGAAGCUUCUUCGGAAGUGGAUUAGCGGCGGACGGGUGAGUAACACGUGGGCAACCUGCCCUAUAGAGGGGAAUAGCCUUCCGAAAGGGAGAUUAAUACCCCAUAAGAUUGUAGUUUCGCAUGAAACAGCAAUUAAAGGAGUAAUCCACUAUAGGAUGGGCCCGCGUCGCAUUAGCUAGUUGGUGAGGUAACGGCUCACCAAGGCGACGAUGCGUAGCCGACCUGAGAGGGUGAUCGGCCACAUUGGGACUGAGACACGGCCCAGACUCCUACGGGAGGCAGCAGUGGGGAAUAUUGCACAAUGGGGGAAACCCUGAUGCAGCAACGCCGCGUUAGUGAUGACGGCCUUCGGGUUGUAAAGCUCUGUCUUUGGGGACGAUAAUGACGGUACCUGAGGAGGAAGCCACGGCUAACUACGUGCCAGCAGCCGCAGUAAGAC